rnacentral:snRNA from 1 species
AGGACGGUGGUCAUGGAAG